AUUAUUAUUAGGUUUCCCCCCCAUUUUUUUCCAGAUACAACUUCUAUGGACAAUAUUGUUAGUUUAUCAGACAGCGCAGAAGACAAAUCAUUCAUUAUAAUCCCAAUAGUGCUAGUGGUUGGUGCUUUUUCAUUGGCUGCACUUAUUAUCACCUGGCUCAGAUAUCACAAGAAAGCACAAAUGACAGCAUCAAAUGAAAAACAACACACACUGAAUCCUGAAACUGAAACUACUACAAACAAAUUCCACAAAGGUGAAGAUGUGGUGACUUACAUUGAAUUGAACUACAAUGUACUGAAACCAAGUAAAGAAGACAUAAACAACCAAUAUCAAAAAACUGAAUAUGCAGUGAUAAAAAUGUCCUAAUUGUCUGUGAUAAAUAAACCUGAAUUGUACAAAAGAAAAAUGUGUUGCUUUUAUGGAGAAAAUGAGUGGUGUGUAGAAGAUAAUUUCUCAUUAGAGUAUGAAGAUUCCAUGAGGUCAUUGUCAGUGUUUUUAAUUCUUUAUUGAAAUAUUCAAAAUCCUUUAAUUUCAUGAAUUUUUAUAAACGUUCAUGUAAAAAUAAAGUCUCUUCAUUUAUUAUUUGCUCUUAAACUAUGUUUGUUGUAUGUUCAAAACACUACUAUUUAAAUUAAGCUGAAACAGGAUUAUUGAC